rnacentral:snoRNA from 1 species
GGUCGAUGAUGAUGAGUAAAAGGUCUGAGGGCACAGGGGAAUUACACUCCAUUAUCCUCUUGGCUCCCAGCAGUCCCUGUUCUGUCAUGCUGUAGGAGAGCUAUGAUUGAGGAAGAGAUUGCUGACAGGUUGGGAUUAAUUCAGUUCCAGUUCUCCACAGUGAAGGAGUUGUGGCACUGAAUGUCAUCCAACAGAACCGGUUAAGAGGAGCUCAUGGUAGUGGGGUGUCUUCAUUUGUUGUGUGUGAUCUAAAGUUUUCAAGCUGAGACC